rnacentral:rRNA from 1 species
GGANUUNCUGGGCGUAAAGAGUUNGUAGGCGGUUUGUCGCGUCGUUUGUGAAAACCAGCAGCUCAACUGCUGGCUUGCAGGCGAUACGGGCAGACUUGAGUACUGCAGGGGAGACUGGAAUUCCUGGUGUAGCGGUGAAAUGCGCAGAUAUCAGGAGGAACACCGGUGGCGAAGGCGGGUCUCUGGGCAGUAACUGACGCUGAGGAACGAAAGCGUGGGUAGCGAACAGGAUUAGAUACCCUGGUAGUCCACGCCGUAAACGGUGGGCGCUAGGUGUGGGUUCCUUCCACGGAAUCCGUGCCGUAGCUAACGCAUUAAGCGCCCCGCCUGGGGAGUACGGCCGCAAGGCUAAAACUCAAAGGAAUUGACGGGGGCCCGCACAAGCGGCGGAGCAUGUGGAUUAAUUCGAUGCAACGCGAAGAACCUUACCUGGGUUUGACAUAUACCGGAAAGCUGCAGAGAUGUGGCCCCCCUUGUGGUCGGUAUACAGGUGGUGCAUGGCUGUCGUCAGCCCGUGUCGUGAGAUGUUGGGUUAAGUCCCGCAACGAGCGCAACCCCUAUCUUAUGUUGCCAGCACGUUAUGGUGGGGACUCGUAAGAGACUGCCGGGGUCAACUCGGAGGAAGGUGGGGACGACGUCAAGUCAUCAUGCCCCUUAUGUCCAGGGCUUCACACAUGCUACAAUGGCCAGUACAGAGGGCUGCGAGACCGUGAGGUGGAGCGAAUCCCUUAAAGCAGGUCUCAGUUCGGAUCGGGGUCUGCAACUCGACCCCGUGAAGUCGGAGUCGCUAGUAAUCGCAGAUCAGCAGCCGCGGUAAAUACGUUCCCGGGCCUUGUACACACCGCCCGUG